rfam:Viridibacillus arenosi FSL R5-213 Contig034, whole genome shotgun sequence.
CGAAUCCUGAUGUGUUCGUUAUAAGCUUAUCAGUUUUGACCGAACAUUUUAUCGUUGGGAGUUCACAUUUUGAAAUGGCGAACAUGCCUGUCAUGGGACGUUUAAAAUUUCGAAGAGAACACCCACCUGCUUAUUGCGGGUUCAAAACGAUUAGAUUUUUAGACGGCACAAUCGGGAUUCGU